rnacentral:lncRNA from 1 species
GCAGCCAGCCCUGCACGCCUUCCCCAACAGCCUCGCUGGGGCAGUUCAUGGUUCAAAGCCUACAGCCCUCCAUCUGAGUUACGAGACUCAUAUAUAGGCUGUACCUUCUGCCCAUGGCUGUGGGGAACCAGGACUGCAGAGGAAGCAUGUGAGUGAAGCCACCGGAAGCAAGCAAAUGGAACAAAACCAGCACCACGACCAC